CGCGUUUCCAGUUGUCGAUUCUGCAAAACAAGCAAAUCAAGAAACAAAGAGGUCAGCUACAACCUUGGAGGAAUGAAGUUGUGUUGCUGAUAGAGGAUGAGGUGUUAAAGACAUCACUUAUUCAUGCUCACAACGAGAAAAUCCUUUCAAAAACCAAUUUAAACUAGAGGUCUAAGUAAAUGAUACAGCAGAAUGUAACAGAGCAACGAGAGAGUGAGAAUAGAAACUGCUGCAGAUCCAUGGAUAGUUAUAUUUUUAUCUACCAAGCUAACAUGGAUAUAUCAGGUCACCUUGAACGUCUUAAAUCAGGUCAACUCGUUCCCCCACCCAAACUCUAAUACUAAAGAUUCUAGCAAGGAG